ACGCACCUAUAAUUUGCAUAAAGCUUUGACAGACUCACACACACACACACACACACACACACACACACAUACACACACACAGGAAACAUAAAUAACCUGCAAAAAUAGAAGAAAAAAAUAUAUAUGCAACAAGCUACUCUGUAUCUGGCUUUUUCUUCCUCUUUCUAUAUCUAUUCAUGGUUCUAAUAUAUGUAAAAAAGAUCAUUAGUUAUCCCUACACAAAACCAAAAAAUCACUCAGCUAUGGAUAAAAAUUUGCAUGGGACACUGAUAUAUACUUACAAAAACAUUAAAAAAAGACUAGACCCGUAUUCUCAAACGUUUCAAAGCUCACACAAACGCAUAUACACACAUUUUGGCUUUAAUAGAGGUUGUGUGUCUUAGUAUUUCCAUGGGCAGUUUUAUGAGCCUAGUGAUAGUUUGACAAGGCUUUGGUGGAGGUUGUGUUAGUAUUUCCAUGGGUAGUUUUAUGAGCCUAGUGAUAGUUUGACAAGGCUUUGGUAGAGGUGGUUGAGUUAGUAUUUCCAUGGGCAGUUUUAUGAGCCUAGUGAUAGUUUGACAAGGCUUUGGUAGAGGUGGUUGAGUUAGUAUUUCCAUGGGUAGUUUUAUGAGCCUAGUGAUAGUAUGACAAGGCAUUGGUAGAGGUGGUUGUGUUAGUAUUUCCAUGGGUAGUUUUAUGAACCUAGUGAUAGUUUGACAAGGCUUUGGUAGAGGUGGUUGUGUUAGUAUCUCCAUGGGUAGUUUUAUGAGCCUAGUGAUAGUUUGACAAGGCUUUGGUAGAGGUGGUUGUGUUAGUAUUGCCAUGAGUAGUUUUAUGAGAGUAUUGAUAGUUUGACAAGUCUUCUGCACCAUGAACGUGAAAAAACACUCAUUAGAACCCGACUGAUCUCCUUUGUGACCUUAAGAAAUAGCUGUCGUGGGAGCCUAAAGCGUUUGAGAAUAAGGACAUAGCCUCACAGCGGACGUGGACUGCUUCCGUUUCUUCGUCUCUCUCUACAAGUAUACAUACCCAAAAAUUCACGGCUUGCGUCACGGAUACAUAAAAAUCAGGACUACGCAGAUACACACAAAAACAUACAGAAAAACAUAACACAUUACACAUAUACAUAAAAAACGAAUAUUGUGAGAAAGAAUGGAGAAAUUGUGCUAUGGAAAAGUGGUUAUAUAAGGAUCGUGUCCCAAAAAUGGUUCAAAGACUAAAGUGACGAGGAAUGCAAAAAAAGAAAAUAAAAGGAGAUUCACACGAAGCACCGAUACACCGAAGCAGCGAGACUCGAAGCACUAUGAAGCAAAAAAUCUUAGCCCAAACAGCACACGAGGAAGACUGAUAAUGGAGAGCCGAUGAAAGCGAACACAAGAACAAGAAAAACAGCAACAAUGAUGAUAAUUCGAUAGAAAAAUAGGUGCAAAAUAUUUCACUGUGAAUAAUAAAAAAACAAAAAAGAAGCACUGGAUAUUUAAAAGCCAAAAAAUGCAGCUAUAAAAAAGACACUCAUAAAAACAACAACAGCAACAGCAGCAACAACAACAAGAUCACCAAAAGCUUCAGCAGUGUACGGAAAAGCGAGAUAGACAAAAAAAAGGAGAAAAAAACGAAGCCGCCUCGAAACAAACCAACUCGAGGCUUCAAAAAAUGCUUCAAAAAUCCAAAAAAGUGAAAAAAUGAAACUCGAAAAUUUUAAAGUUCGAAGCUUCAAAAGAAGAUUCGAAUAGACAUGCGAAGC